CAGUAACAAUUGAAGGGUGAGGGACACCCGGACGCCACCUCGCGCCACCACGGCCACGUCAGCGGUGCCAGCAGACACCCGUGGCCUGCCCUGUGCAGCGCCACGCCACCCUCACGCCUGUCCUGCUGCAACCGGCCACACCUCAACUUACAUUUGAGAAACGAAGCACCAUUUUCACUACUGCUACUCAUAUUUGCUCCGACACGACUACAAAAUAGGAAAAUAAUGAAUCAGAAGCACGGGAGUCUGCUGCCGCAUCGGAGAGCACCGCACGCGCCUCGUAGAUCAACACGCGCAUGGCCGAUAGUACAUUGUCGGCAGUCACAGUACACCAGGCCCAGGAAACAGUUGAGCAGAGGGGAAACAUGACGGCGCAAGAUUCAUAUGAAUAUAGCACUAACACGGGAGCCAAGUUGAGUGUGGGGGAUAAAGUGAUGAGGAGGAAACUGACCCACAAGAAGAACAUAAUCCUGACAACAUGUGCUGUACUCUCACGAUGACUACAAAGCCUAAGAUAGAGGGAGGAAACAGCACCGUCUGGCUGAGUGGUGUAAAAGGGAGCAGAAGCAUUCGUCUCGGGAAGCUUUCCGAGACAACUCAUAACAAGAUGACGAGUGGCGGAAUGACUGGUGAAGGGUAAGGCUGUAGUGCAUCCUGGAGUAGAGCAAAUUUGAGCCUACAAUCACUAUGUUUAGGGGAGGGGGGAAUACAAUAUGUCUAAGAACAGUGCCUCCACAGGGAGGACAAAGUGAUACUUCUUAGUUAUUAUGUACAGUAUCUGGUAGAGCACAGUACUUAUUUUGAAAAAAAAAAUAAAUAAAAAAGGACAGCACAUAU